GCUGGAGUAUCCUUAACUAAACUCAAAUCAAAAGUCAUGUACAGCACAGCCUUCAAUGCUUUUCAAACUUCCCUUCAAUCACGGUUUAAGACAAUUUAUACAUUAUAAAACCCUCUUUGGACCCUAUUACGUAGCAGAAAUUUGUCAACACGUUCCACAGGAAACAUUAUGAUGCUUUGUAACAGGAGAUUGCACGGAUAUCAAGUUCUUUUUACCAUUCUGACCACAGACAGACCUAAACAGAAUUGAUCACCGAGUUUUUGCUGCACUGAUGAAUGACGAAGUUGCAAAUCUCGCCAAUGGUCCAAUCUUUCAUCCUCGCAAGGAGGGAGAAGGCAUAUUGAAUGUCAAACGUUCAAUUUCCAUGAAAUUAGCGGAGUCUUACCACUGCCAUUGCGUAUGAUACAUCACGCGUCUCCUCCGAAGUGCAGUCUUGCAGGACUAUUUUGCAUGUGUAACAGUACAUUUCGCAUUUGUCCCAUGUGUAAGGCUCAUCACAUGAAUCCUGCAAUCAGUUUUCGCAUGAUGAUGUCCCAAGAUUAUUGUGUUGUUCUGUUCGGUCAUUGGAUGCCAACCUUAUAGAAUAUAAAGAGAAGGCCAAAAAAAAAAAAAAAAAAAAAGAGAGAGACAGAAGAGAAACUGACUAAACGAAAAUCUUUACUUCCUCCUUGUGCAUGGAUCAAUGAAGAUUGACAUCUAUGGUGCUCCAAUAUUUCAAGAAAAUGACUAACCAAGCCAAUUAACACUUGUAUCUUUCACAGAAAUAAUCAGCUACAGUUUCAUCAUAUGCUUCCACAAAGGAGAAACCAUGAGCAAAAUGGAGAAACCAUAAGCAACAGUCAAAUGAUUUUUAACAGAAAAGUGAGAAACCUAUUUACAUAAUGUCUGGAGACGACCAAAAAUGUUUGUGGUUUUGAAUGGUGUUCGGUAGCCCACUUGGGACAUCUAGGACAAACAACAUAAUGUAAUCUCAGAGUGCACUGAGGCUUUUUAACUUUUCAUGGAAAUGAUCAAAUAUAUGUGAAGAUAUAAAUAGGAGCACUCACUGGUGGACGGACCAGAAUGCCCUUCCAUAUAAAUCUUCCAAUCUCUAGACAAGAACAAGUUGAGGACAACUAAUCAAAGACCUGAAAUACCAUGUCCUUGUCAUACUCAUGGAGACUCAGUAGUACCAAAAAUAAGCUGCAAAUGAAUUUUGUGCACCUCCGUGAAGGAACUUAUUCAGUUUAAACAGGUCAAGUUGAGGACAAGAAUCUCUCUAAACCUAAAAGCCAGCUAUAUAAAUUUCAAAAGAGCAAGUGGAAGGGCAAAUUGAAGAUAUAUCCAGGUGAGAGGGAAUUUGUACUUUGAAAAAGGUUGAUUAUGACCAAAAUGGGGGCGGAUAUUGAUAUGCAUGUGUUCCUAGUUGAGGACAAAACAAAUGCACAUGGAGAGGGAGGGAGCGAGAGAGAGAGAGAGAGAGAGAUGGACCCUCCCUUCCAUGGAAGCUCUGUGGCUUGGGAAGUUGAGAUGCCUUUCCUAUCCUUCCGUUAUAUUGUUUGUAAAGGACAAGACUGUCCUCACUAUUUUUGUUCUUUCUAUUGUCCAAUGUGAAAUGCUCUCUGUUAUUUCAUUUCUUGUCUCCUUCCAAUCAAUGCCAUACCCCAGCACCACUCAACACUGAGAAACCACAAUUCCUUCAUCUCUAUUUAAACUUAGUACUAUACCAUUUCAUAUCAAGUGACAAGUACAUUCGCUUUACUCUGUCCAUUUGUAAACUGUAUCUCAACCUAUAACCUGACAUCGAACACCCUCCCGGUUUCUCUGCAAGUACUCUCUCCCUAUUUCUCUCUCCCCGCUAUGCUUUCCAAACUCUCAGAUGCCUUCAGAGCAUAUCCUGUCGAACUCCACCAUAAACAACUCGACUUUAGUUCAGCCGAAGAGUUGCCCGACUCAUAUGCAUGGACAGAACUUGGUGAGUACCCCUCUUCUCACUGUCCCAGCAAAGAGAGUUUGCCGAUCAUCGAUCUCAAUGACCCAAAUGCGCUAAAGCUAAUAGGCCAUGCAUGCAAAAGUUGGGGUGUAUAUCAAGUCACAAACCAUGGCAUACCAGAGGAGCUUCUUCAUGAUGUUGAGCGUGCAGCCAAGAAUCUUUUCUCUCUGCCGGUGCAACAAAAGCUCAAGGCAUCUCGUUCCCCAGAAGGCAUCUCGGGUUAUGGAGUCGCAAAAAUUUCUGCCUUUUUCCCUAAGCAAAUGUGGUCUGAGGGUUUCACCAUUAUGGGGUCACCAAUGGAACAUGCUCGCCGACUUUGGCCUCAAGAUUACAGCCUAUUCUGGUACUAAGUCGUAACUCACAAUUUUUCUUUUUCAAGCUACUUACUAUUAUCAAUGGAUGCAAAUAAUGCAAUUAAAACCAUGGACCCACCAAAAGAAUCUGAGAGACAGUGUCUAAAGAUCAAAUCUUCUAUUCACUCUUUGUUUAACCUUCAUUAGUCGAGCACCUUAACUCUCUUUUAAAUGCUUAAUUUUCCCUGUUAUUUGUUGCAGUGAUGUAAUUGAAAAGUACCAGAAAGAGAUGAAACAGCUAGCAGAAAGGUUGAUGUGGCUUAUGCUUGGCUCUUUGGGGUUGACAAAGGAAGACAUCAAAUGGAGCAGCCCUAAAGGAGAAUUCACAGGGGCAGUUGCUGCUUUGCAAUUGAAUUCUUACCCUGCUUGCCCAGACCCAGACAGGGCAAUGGGUCUUGCCGCUCACACAGACUCUACACUCCUCACAAUUCUUCAUCAAAAUAACACAAGUGGCUUGCAAGUGCUUAAAGAAGGCAGUGGAUGGAUCACAGUACCUCCACUUCCGGUGCACUUGUUGUUAAUGUGGGGGACCUCUUUCACAUAUUAUCAAAUGGCUUAUACCCAAGCGUCCUCCAUCGAGCAAUGGUUAACCGAACAGAGCACCGGUUAUCAGUUGCCUAUUUAUAUGGACCGCCGAGUUGGGUUCAAGUCUCACCUCUACCAGAACUAAUAGACUCUAAUCAUCCUCCACUUUACAAGCCAGUAACUUGGAGCGAGUACCUUGGGACCAAGGCAAAACAUUUCAACAAAGCACUGUCAUUAGUUCGGCUAUGUGCUCUCGUAAAUGAACUACCUGAUGUAAGUGAUAGUAUCGUGAAAGUCAGCUAAAGUUUUCUAGCUAUUGCCCCUCAAAGUGUGUAUUGGUCGGCAAGAUCAGAGGAACUGAAUUCCUGAGGAUUAAAGUGUGCAAGUCAAAUGACGAACCAGAUGAACUCCCAUGAGAAUGAACCAAAGGAUAAAUUGUGUCAAAUCAUAAAAGCGAAAGACAGCUUUUUGCCCAUUUGAAUAUUUAGGUGAAGGACAAACAAAAAGACAGCUUUUUGCCCAGAUGUGAAGGAUGAUCCUCCUCCAACGAAAAUGACGAAAAUCAAGGUAAAAAUUGUAGGACUAAUUAUUUAUCAAAUGAAGCUUGGAAGAUGACAAGGGACAAAUGAAGACAAUUACAGCUAUUUCUUGCAAAGGGGAAUUCGAACAAUGACAUUUUUAAAGCAGAAGUUAACUGAGAAUGUAAGGCCAUGACAUUUGACAGCAAGAGUAACAGAUCUCUCUCUCUCUCUCUCUCUCUCUCUCUCUCUCUCUCUCUCUCUGUGUCUCUCUCAUGCAGGCAUGUGGGCACACACACGCACACACACACACAAAGAUAAUGCGCAUACGCUUGUGGCAAAGCAGUACAUUAAUAUGCGUCAAUCUAUCAACCCUAUCAUGGCCUGGCAAAGAUUUGCAAGUUGAAAAUGAUAAUGCCCUUGAAGCCAUGUGCAAUAUUUUGCAUGUUGUCUAUUAAAGAGAUCAUCGGGGAGUUGUUUACAAUUUUGCUACUGUUUUGUUCUUUUUUUUCUCUCACCAGCAUAAACUAAGCUGCGCUCAAGGAAACAAAAAGCUUUCAACUUUUCCUUCACCUAAUCUAUUCAGCUUACUCCAUUUUCCAAAUGAGCAAGUUUAUGAGAACUAUGCUGCAUUUCAUAACUACUAGAAUCCAUCAGGCAACUUGUUUACUGUGGUAAAAGAUAACGAGGAACAUGGAUAUGCCAUCACUAAUCUAGGAAAAGUACCACACAUCAGAUUCUAGAUAUGAGAAGAAGUACCUAAAGCCCGGAGGCACGGAAAACAAACUUUUGUCCUUCUCUUGUUCUUUACAUGCUUAGGGAUCUCAGUCUUGAUCCUCCAUAGAUUGAAAAUUACACCAUUUGUUGAGGAUACCCAGGUCCUCGGAGUAUUGCUAUGCUCAGGCCAUGAAAACUUAUUAUAGAAAAAUAAGAAGCUCUGAAAAGAAUGGUGUGAGCAAGAGAAGUUUUGGUUUAUUUAGAGUAAGCAAGUUUUAAUUGCCAUUAACAAACUUUAAGAUAAUAAAAACGACUUGUGUGUGGCAGAAGUAGUCUCAGUUUCAGUAUCUGCAGAAGUAAAUAAUUCCUCCAUUUUGCUUAAAAGAAAGAUUACAGGAUUGUACCUUAUUAGUAAGAUGUACUCCACUACAAACAGUUAGUGUCUCGAUUAGGAUUGAGAUCAUUUAGUCACAUCACACAUGAGGUAGCUUUGGCACUCAACUUCACACAAAAUGUCAACUGAUUGCAAAUGUAUCUAUCAAAGAGAAGUUUUCUUGGAAAUGGAUUUGCAGCUGACUGACCAUAACUUGUGGAUGAUAUAAGCAUUCUCCACUUAUACUUCCAAACCAAAAUCAACACUUUUAGUAACUCUGAAAACAUGAGCCUAUUCAAAAAGGACCAAAGCGGUCGAUGACAAACGGUAUAUUUCUCUGCAUAUUAUUCAUUAUGUUUAACCAUGCUACUUCUAUGGCCAAUGGCUAUGCUAUUCAAAAAGGUGAAUCUAUUCAUGACUAGAGAAGCAUGAGUCAUAAGCAAAACAACCUUUGGUGGUUUAGGCCAUUAAUUCUUUCCAAGUGAACAAUAAGAGCGUUCUGCUCCUUCCGCACCCGCUAUUGUCCAACAAAUUUGCUCAAUUCCUUUUUAAGAAAAGCUUAUGCUCCUCCUCAUCAACUACUUAUCUGAUGGAGUGUCUACGCCAUGUCCAAUUGCCGUGGCGCAGCAGAUUACUGAUGACUCAGGCUUGCUUUAAAUUGUAAACUCGAAGCAACUCUGAACAAAACACAAAUCCCAUCCUCAUAAUCCGCUUGGCUUGCUCAAUCAUGCACCCCGCAAAGCCGCUCGGCCGCUCCAUCUCAAUAGUUUCUCAUUGUGACCACUGCCUGAUCGAUUGCGAAACAUCAACUAUUCGAUUUCCCACCCAAUUAGCCACAACAUCUGGGUAACUGAAAGAAACCAACAUUGACCAAAACCUCGGAAGAAUAACUCAUUAUUAUGAUGACUUAGCUAACAUUAUGCGGUUUAAAGCUGCUAAAAACCAAAAGGGUAAGCAGCGUUCGAGUGAUCAUGAACCGACAAUGCUUCCAUGGGGACACACCCGUGCAGGUGCGGAUAAAUCAAGCGAGGCGAAUGAGGAAAGCUAAUGCCAGCAGAGCCCACAUAAUUCCUGUGAUCACGAGAAGUCAAAGGCCAAACUACGCAUGCAAAAUCGAUGCCGAGUGCGGGAGAACAGUCGGUAUUCGUCGCUACAAUUUGGAUACCGAGUGUAGUAUAUAAAUGAGCAAACGGAAAUGGCUUGAAAACGAAGCACAGAGAGAGAGACAGAGAGAGAGAGAGAGAGAGAGAGAGAGAGAGAAGAUCACUUUGAACCUGCGUUAUCUCUGCUGAAGCUGAAGAAUUCACCGAUGAGCUCGAACGAAAACGAAGAGGAUUAGACGAAAAGCUCGAGAUGGCGCCGUUC
rnacentral:lncRNA from 1 species